rnacentral:rRNA from 9 species
UCCGUAGGUGAACCUGCGGAAGGAUCAUUAAUGAAU